CAUGUUGGCCAGGCUGGUCUGGAACUCCUGACCUGAAGUGAUCUGCCCACCUCGGCUUCCCAAAGUGCUGGGACUGCAGGUGUGAGCCACUGCGCCUGGCCCCUUCAGGUGGGUUUUGAGGCUUCACGUUGCUGCUGCAAUAAAUUACCACACACUUAGUGGCUUAAAACAGCACAGAGGUAUUCCCUUACAUUUCUGAAGGCCAGAAUUCUAAAAUCAGUCCCACUGAGUCAAGGUGGGAGCAGGGUCAGUGCCUUCCCAGGCUCUGCGGGAGAAUCUGUUUCCUGGCCCUGGAGGCGGCCUGUACUCCUUAGCUUGUGCUGCCCUUCUGGAAUGACUCGAGUUUCCUGCUUUCAUCACUACACCUCCCACCGCUCUCCAUCACCUGCUGUGCUCUUACGAGGAUCCAGCUGAGACAUGUUUUAGGAAGUUUGCUAAAAGACCCCUGGAGACGUCCUCAUUGUGGCCUCCCUGCUGUUGUGUUUAAUUUGGUUGAUCUUCUCUGCCCUCCUGCUUUUCAGAAUUAAAAGGCUAAAAAGAGGUACUAAACUUUAAAACUUCUCUUAUAGUCUCCCUUUAAAGUAAUUCUAAGAACCACCAAAAAGGGGAAAAUUUUUUUCGAAAGCAGUAAAAUGAUAUGGUUUGUUAGGAUGUAAAAUAUAGAAAAUAAGUCAUUAUAUGUUAUUGCUGCUCUGACAUAGGGAUGUAUUGAGAAUCAACUUUUGGUCAGUUUUCAGAGAAAUGGAAUAAUUGUAUUGCUGAUCUACGUAAACAAGUUGAAGAAUUGUCUGAAAGAAAAUAUGGUGUGUCUGAACUGGAAAAGUCCUGUGAUAGUUUGUUCAUGAGCAUUUACACAAUGGAGUUACUGUUCAUCAUGGGGGUACUGUGGACAAGCC
rnacentral:lncRNA from 1 species